GUCGAGAAUCUUUCGCAAUGCCCGAAAGGGUGACGAAGCGACGCCGCGUGUGGGAAGAAGGCCUUCGGGUUGUAAACCACUGUCGGGAGUUAGGAAAUGCAGGUGCGUUAAUAGCGCACUUGCUUGACUAAGGCUCCAGAGGAAGCCACGGCUAACUCUGUGCCAGCAGCCGCGGUAAUACAGAGGCGGCAAGCGUUGUUCGGAAUUAUUGGGCGUAAAGAGCACGUAGGCGGCCUUGCAAGUCAGUUGUGAAAGCCUUCCGCUUAACGGAAGAACGGCAUCUGAUACUACAGGGCUUGAGUACGGGAGGGGAGAGUGGAACUUCUGGUGGAGCGGUGAAAUGCGUAGAUAUCAGAAGGAACGCCGGCGGCGAAAGCGACUCUCUGGUCCGAAACUGACGCUGAGUGUGCGAAAGCUAGGGGAGCAAACGGGAUUAGAUACCCUAGUAGUCC
rnacentral:rRNA from 1 species